AUCAUGUAUACAUAGAAGAAAUUCAACAUCAAACUUCACAAAAGAAAUGCAUCAAACUCACACUCCACACCCCUCCUUUCCCAAUCGACUCAAUCGCACAGACUCAGUCGCUCAGAGAGAGAAUAUAUUAUUCUGAAUCUGACUUCCCACCCACUGCCCUAGCAAUAUUCUGCCAUCGAUCAGGGGUGUCUCGAUCAUACACAGCAAGAGCUGUUUCAAAUAACUUGUUCUGCUUCGCUGUCCAUGAGCAGCUGGAUCCAUAUGAAGAAAUGGAGUUUGUUGACAUUUUGGAUAUCAAGAUUUUCAAAUAAAGUUGUUGGUUUCUUGUACUUGAUGCUUGGGAAAGGCUAAAAGAAAGGAAUUGGAGGAGUGAUUUGCAGGAUUUGAUGAGGGGAAGCUCUUUAUAAACUGAAGGAAAGUUGUACGGGUUUUCUAGUUGCAGGAAUAUAACUUGCAAGAUGGUCAAAUUGUAAGUGACCCAUCACCCAUCAUCAUCUUUUACAAAUUGCAGAUAUUAUAAUCAGUGGAGUAUGAGAAUCAGUAUAUGUUCUGGGACCUAAGGAAUUCUCUUUGAAUUAUGACAACAAAUCAUCUCUUUUUGCUACUUAAAUUUCAUGAUGGAAACUGUUUCAACUCUUCAUCUUUACAUAAUCAACUUUCUAAAUGCAAUUUCAUUUCAAAAAUCAAGUUGUGUUUUUGUGUAACAAAUGCAGCCUAAAGUUCUUUCUUUUCAUUAGAAAGAACUUUCUUGUACAUGGUGUUUGUUAUGAAUUAUAUGAAGUAUUUCUCAUCAUGAUGAGUUAUGAUCAAAAUUUUGUCUUAUUAA